AUACAGUUAUUUUAAAUAGAAUAUUUGUUUUUGGAGCAAAAGGUUUACUGUAUU
rnacentral:tRNA from 1 species